rnacentral:rRNA from 1 species
CGGAGGGGCGUAGCGUUGUUCGGAAAUAACUGGGGCGUAAAGCGCACGUAGGCGGCGCAGCAAGUCAGGGGUGAAAAUCCCGGGGCUCAACCCCGGAACUGCCCUUGAAACUGCAGUGCUAGAAUCUUGGAGAGGCGAGUGGAAUUCCGAGUGUAGAGGUGAAAUUCGUAGAUAUUCGGAAGAACACCAGUGGCGAAGGCGACUCGCUGGACAAGUAUUGACGCUGAGGUGCGAAAGCGUGGGGAGCAAACAGGAUU